UACGUAGGGUGCAAGCGUUAAUCGGAAUUACUGGGCGUAAAGCGUGCGCAGGCGGUUUUGUAAGUUUGUCGUGAAAUCCCCGGGCUUAACCUGGGAAUUGCGAUGAAGACUGCAAGGCUAGAAUCUGGCAGAGGGGGGUAGAAUUCCACGUAUAGCAGUGAAAUGCGUAGAGAUGUGGAGGAACACCGAUGGCGAAGGCAGCCCCCUGGGUCAAGAUUGACGCUCAUGCACGAAAGCGUGGGGAGCGAACAGG
rnacentral:rRNA from 1 species